GAGACUGAUCCAGCUGCACCGAGAACAGACGGCGUCACUUAUGGACAGAUAGUCAUCAGACCAAACAACAGGAGAGAGUGUCCACCAGAACCAGUGGUUAUCUACUCUAUUCUUCACUGAGGAAGACCGUCACACCUUCGCACCUGUCCUGUCUCAGGACAGAGCGGAGCUGAGCUGCUGUAGGAUUCAUGACAUGACAUUUAUAAGUUCCUAUUUAACAGGAUCUAAUGUUUAGUUUUUUUUUCUCAACUCUUUAUUUAUA